rnacentral:rRNA from 1 species
AGCGAACGCUGGCGGCAGGCCUAACACAUGCAAGUCGAACGAACCUUUCGGGGUUAGUGGCGGACGGGUGAGUAACACGUGGGAACGUGCCUUUAGGUUCGGAAUAACUCAGGGAAACUUGUGCUAAUACCGAAUGUGCCCUUCGGGGGAAAGAUUUAUCGCCUUUAGAGCGGCCCGCGUCUGAUUAGCUAGUUGGUUGAGGUAAUGGCUCACCAAGGCGACGAUCAGUAGCUGGUCUGAGAGGAUGAUCAGCCACAUUGGGAGUGAGACACGGCCCAAACUCCUACGGGAGGCAGCAGUGGGGAAUCUUGCGCAAUGGGCGAAAGCCUGAAGCAGCCAUGCCGCGUGAAUGAUGAAGGUCUUAGGAUUGUAAAAUUCUUUCACCGGGGACGAUAAUGACGGUACCCGGAGAAGAAGCCCCGGCUAACUUCGUG